GUUGAAUUAAUAAAGCUGUGCGUUUUGCACCAGCAUUUAAGUUUGUUCGUAGUUGCUAGUUCAGUCCUCAAGUUCUAUUUGUUUACAAUUUGGUCCUGUGUAUUCAGUUAGUCGUGGAACACUUUCUGUUGUUAGUUGCUAAGAUCAUGGCUGAUUCUUAGCUUUAUAAUCGAUCUUCUGCAACGAAUCUCGUUGUCAGUUUGGUACAGAUUGCCUUUACAU
rnacentral:lncRNA from 1 species